rnacentral:lncRNA from 1 species
GGUGGUGCCCGGGCUGCACCAAACGGAAAUCCACGGCUCAUCAUGGCGGCUAGCAAGCCAUCAUGAAGGCGCUCUACUAGCAUACCCCACCAGAUAGCAUCAAGAAUGUCUCCUCUUUCUUUCGUUCACCCCAACUCAUCCAACCUUUUCUUACUUUCCCACCCCUUUCGCUUAGAGGUGUUUAGCAGGGAGAGGCUAAACACAUCGGAUGUUUGACACUAAUUAUGAGUAUUAAACAUAAUCUAAUUACAAAACUAAUUGCACAACCCCUAGGCUAAAUCGCGAGACGAAUCUAUUAAGCCUAAUUAGUUCAUGAUUUGACAAUGUGGUGCUACAGUAACCAUUCGCUAAUGAUGGAUUAAUUAGGCUUAAUAGAUUCGUCUCGCGAUUUAGCCUAGAGGUUCUGCUAUUAAUUUUAUAAUUAGCUCAUAUUUAGUCCUCCUAAUUAGCAUCUGAACGUGUGAUGUGACAGGGCUAAAGUUUAGCCCCUGACAUCCAAACACCCCCUAAUCUAUUGCACAGUACUGAAGAUUAAAGCCCCUGGGCAAGCAGUCUCCCCGCCCAAGUUUCCUCUUAUUCCCCGACCCGGCCUUGCGAAUUUCAGAAACUAGAAAAGCAUAUGCGUCUGCACACC